CCUGACCUCAGAUUAUCCACCAACUCAGCCUCCCAAAGUGCUGGGAUUACAGGUGUGAGCCACCGUGCCUGGCCAAGCUUUCACCUCUGUAUGGGAACAAAUGAGGAGAGUGAUUCUGCACAAUUUUGCAAAGCGAUAUGAACAAAUCCUGACCAAGGAAAGGAAGUGCAAAGUGUGCUAAGCACAGGGUUUCAGCAGAUAACCGUGAUGCGAUGUGCACAACGGACAGCCUCUUUGCUGCCUUGUCUCAGGGCCUUUGUCAUGCAAACCCUCCACUGAGCCCACAUUUUGACUUGCCCUUUGUACAUGAUUGAUUAAUUGCAGGCGUUAAGUAUAUAAAACAUAUAGACUUCUAUAAAAAUAUUAUUGAUUUUUAGAGUUUUGUUCCCUUUUGGGGGUAAACCUAAGGAAUCACAGACCCCAAGUUCUCAGAUGCCAAAUACUUUAACUUCUCUAAGCUGUUUAUCCAUUGUUAAAGUUCUAACUAGUAAGGUGCUUAGAUAGUGAAAGAUAACAUGUGUUAGCUUAAAACAUACAAAAAUACAGGAAGAAAAUAACUUCCCUUUCACUUAAUAUUUCCUAGGAUGGACGCUGGGAGUCUGAUGAUAUACUGAAGGCUGAUCUCAUAUACAAAUGAGGGCUUUUCUUUUUGCAGUUCUUGUUGUAUUAAAUAGAUUAUAGUUCAUUGAGCAUAGCUUUGCAUAGCAUAACCUACCUCUGUUUUUCAAAUUCAAUGUUUCUAAUUUAUUGAUUUAUUAGGAAAAUAUUUGUUAAGUACCUACUAUGAGUCCAGCAUUGUGCUGGACACUUACAGUGAACUAAAUUGACUGCAGAAUAACAAAACACCUUGUCUUCCCAGGAUCCUAUCUUCUGAGAACCACCCUCUUCUCUUUAUCUUCCUGCUUCUGGUCUUACCUUUAAGUACAAGCCCAUAUACUUACUGUGGGAAUGGCUGUUUUACACCCUGACCCAGUUUUUACAACCAUGACUAUAGGACUUCUGUGGCGUCAUGAAAGAAGAACUGGGUAUUAGCCAAGUUGGAAUAUCAACAAUGCGAUCAUUGAAUGGGUACUCACUGUAUACAAGGUACUGUGCUCGCUGCUAAUGGUAUAAAAAAUUCAGUUCAUGGCAUCUGCCUUACCCAGAACCUUUAAACUAGCUCAAGGCAUCAUAUUUGCAUGAAGUUACAAGGCAGACUAUGCUAAAGAAAAAACAAGUAGCCCAGAUCUUAGAUGGUAGCUGAGGUCACAGGAAGAAAAGAAUGUCUUGCAUUUGUCUAGAAGCCAAAUGGUAACAGCCAUUUCUCUAUCUUCCUAGAAGUUCCAUUUCCUUCUCCACCUUAUUGAAUGAUAGUUUCUCAGUCUUGGAGUCAUCAUACGUUUCCAGCUUAAGAUGAAAAUGUAAAGUUUCUCCCCACUCAGAAUUUUCAUUUUGUGUUUUUUAGGGAGUCGAUGUGUGAACUGCAGAGACGGACUGAUACCAGCAGAUAUUUAUGCAGCAAAACCCUGUGAGAAGAUGAGCCAUAAUCUGAAGAAGAUAAAUAAAAAUGGAUUAUUUUUAUCACUCUAGACAGAGCAUAAAGAGAUGGCAUUUUCUCCGUUUUAAAAUCUCAGAUGUACAUACAUUGAAAUCUAAAUAAAAAAUUAUUCUGA